rnacentral:rRNA from 1 species
AUUGAACGCUGGCGGAAUGCUUUACACAUGCAAGUCGAACGGUAGAGGGGCAACCCUUGAGAGUGGCGAACGGGUGAGUAAUGUAUCGGAACAUGCCCAGUCGUGGGGGAUAACGUAGCGAAAGUUACGCUAAUACCGCAUACGAUCUAUGGAUGAAAGCGGGGGAUCGCAAGACCUCGCGCGAUUGGAGUGGCCGAUAUCAGAUAGGUAGUUGGUGGGGUAAAGGCCUACCAAGCCGACGAUCUGUAGCUGGUCUGAGAGGACGACCAGCCACACUGGGACUGAGACACGGCCCAGACUCCUACGGGAGGCAGCAGUGGGGAAAUUUGGACAAUGGGCGAAAGCCUGAUCCAGCCAUUCCGCGUGCAGGAAGAAGGCCUUCGGGUUGUAAACUGCUUUUGUACGGAACGAAACGCGCUGUGCUAAUACCACGGCGUAAUGACGGUACCGUAAGAAUAAGCACCGGCUAACUACGUGCCAGCCGCCGCUGUAAUAC